rnacentral:lncRNA from 1 species
ACGUGAUUUGGUUUUAUUUGCAUCCAUUUUAUAACCGAGUAUUGUAUCCUUUUAUUUUAUUUCAAGCAUGAUGAAGCCCCCAAAGAAUUGCAUUCAUAUUCUUUUGUCAUUAUAAUACUCAGUAUUAAUUGCAUCAUUCAGGGCCCGUCAUUAACAUUAUUCCCAUUGUAGGAAAAACUCAAUAAAAUUGUAAUGCUGUUCUUUAGACAUAUUCUUGAGUUUCUUUAUCAACAUCAUCGCAAAACCUAAUGACAAAAUAAUAACACUGUGGAAUUAUAUCUGUAGACUAAUAAAAAUAUGUUUUGAUUUUCUUCAGAAUGUCAGCACAAAAAAACUCAGUCAAAAUUUACCCUUGACUUUACGGUAUUACAAUAGAUUUCUAAAAUAUCUGUUAAAGCUUUACAAUUUUGUGUCAGUUUAUGCUCAACAGUUCACAUUAGUAUCAACUCAAUCAUGUAACUAAUAAAUCCCUUUUAAGUCUUGAAACUAAUUUUAUGGUGGCUCACCCAUAACGUCACAACAAAGUACACCACAGAAGGAAUAUGAGGGAACAAAUAAAAGGAAUUUUCCAGAUAUUUUAAAACAUUCUUGGUCAAAGCCACUUUGAGGAAAACCCUGGCAAAGGUAUUAUUCGUCAUGCAGUCUUGCUAAGAGAAAGUGCAUAUGUUUGGUGGUAUUCAAAUGGAAGCCAUUCGAUUGCUGCUACAAAUGUUAACAUUCCCAUCUGCAAACAAAUAAUUGGUACAUACCAGGGAGCUUUACUGCUUGUCUCAUCAUUAAUUGCACAUUUCAUCUAUGCUUAGAGGUAUGACUGUGCCUGAUUUUUCAAUACAUUAACCAGAACCAGAAAAAGCCAUGCAGGUGUUUCAGAGUCUGACUGCAUUUCGUUAUACACAGAGGCUCAAGAAGAAACAUUGGACUCAAUUAAAUGCUUGCCUUGACAUAAUACUUUUAACUCUUUUGUUGGCAUAUUUGCUGACAGAAUUCCAGUCUUCAAGGAAUAGACACUUUUUUUCUGAAAGUCAACCUGCCAUUUGAGAACACAGACUUCUGGGUCAUUCUGAGGAACACAGCCACACCGAGAGCCAUCCCAAUCCUGAUCAAGAACCCCUCAGGAGUCUGCAUCUACUUGUGGAGUAACUUCCUCCCACUAUAUGGCAUCAUCAUUCUUUCUUCUUAAAAAUGAUGGUACAAGUUCAAGAGAGCUCAUUUUUAACCCUUGCAUGGAGGAACCGGCAUAAUACCUUCAUUGUGAUCUAUCAGUUUUUUAAUGACUAAGUAUUCCUGCUUCCUAAUCAUUUUUCUUCUAUUAUACUAUUUAAAACACAUUUAUUGUAUAGCAAUAUUGGACACUGGAAAUAUGAAGGUGAAUGAGACAAGCCCUUGAAUCCUCAUGGAUGUGGUCUAAGGUAGGGCUUGAGAAUGCGGACUUCCCAGUUUGAAUCCUGGUUCUACCAUUUCCUGGCUGUGGGAUCUUACUGGAGAGACGUGACCACCCUGUGCUCAGAAAUAGUAUGGUAGUGAUGUCACCCACCCACAGGGCUGUUGAGGGUUAUUGCAUAUAAAUCGCUUGGCACAGUCCUGGCUUGGCACAGUGCAUUCACUGCUCAUCAUGUUAAUUCAUAUUCUCUUAGGGACAUGGGUCAUAUCAUAUACACUAAAUAUGGUCCAGUAAAACCUUCUAAUGGAGCUCUGAACAAAAUGCCAAGGAGCUCUGUGGCUGACAGCAAGGUUGGGGUUAUCAGAAGAGAUGACCUCUAAGCUGGGCUUGAAGACUGAGUUCACUCAUGCGGAAAAGGUGGAUGAGAUGUCUGAGGAGUUAGAGCAUGCGCAGCUAGCAGGAGCGAUGGCUUGGUGAUGUGUCAGUGGGUGGUGUGUCCAGGGACCAGCAAGUGGUGUGGAAGGAACACAGACAGUGCUGCCAGAAGGACAGGUCAGGGCCAGGGUUCAAUCAUCCCAGCAGCCCUUGAGAGCAAUGCCACCAAAUCUAUGCUUUACAAAAAUAACUUGGCUACUUCCUGGAAGAUGAAACACAUAAAAGAGAAACAGAAAGCAGGGAGGCUGUUAUGAAAUGAUCAUGGCGGUGAGACUGGAAAGGUGGAGAAGAACUGAGAGGGACUUGGAGAGAGAGUAGAAAGCACUCAGUGACUGACUGGAGAUGGGGGGCAGAGGAACGAUUCAGGGAUGAUGUCAUAUUCCCACAUGAAAUAAGAAAAACAGGAAGAGAAGCAAGCUUGGAGAAGGAGAGAUAAUGAGUAUAAUGCUAUAAAUAUAAAGUUUGGGGUAUCUGCAGGAAGACUGUCCAGUGGGGAGUUUAUAAUUCUGGACUGUAGCACAGAGCCAUCCAUGAUGGGGAGAAGGGAAAAGAGAGAAGCAGGGGGAAGUAACACUUUUUUUUUUUUUGUCUUUUUGCUAUUUCUUAGGCUGCUCCCACAGCAUAUGGAGGUUCCCAGGCUAGGGGUCGAAUCAGAGCUGUAACCACCAGCCUACACCGAGCCACAGCAACGCGGGAUCCGAGCCGCGUCUGCGGAAAUACUUCUCCAAAAUAACCCCUUGAUACCAGCAAAACGAGUUCCCUCACUGUAUCUUCACAUGCCUUGUACAUUCACUCUGCCCCUCCGUUUAAGGUAUGCUGACUAAGCAUCCAUUAUUGUGCCAGGGGCUGUUCCAGAUUUUUGUGAUGUAGAAGUGAAAAAGUCAAAACUCUGCCAUUGGGGGGGUUUGAUGUUUUAGUGUCAGAGACAGUCAAUAAACAAGUAACCAAAUAAAGACAAAAUAUAAUUUCAAGCAAACAAAUGCAAUAAGGAAAAAUAAAGCAAGUAAGAGGUUAGAAAGUUAUCAAGGUGGGAGAGGAAGGGAAAUUCUUUGAAAUCGAGUGGUUGUAGUCAGGGGAAACAUUUCUGAUGAAGAGGAGACUUAAAGUGAUGGAAAAAGCCAUGUGAAAAUAAGGCGGAAGAGUGUUUCAAGCAGCAGAAGAGCAAGUAUGAAGAUCAUGACGUAGAAACCAGCUUGCUAUGUUUGAGAAACAACAAGGCAACCAGUUUGGCUAGAAUAGACCAAAGAGUCACAGUGUAUCUUGUGUCACUUCUGAUACCACUAUCUUGUCUUGUUAACCAAAUACUGCUGUUAAGAUUUUCCUGGAGGGAGUUCCCAUGGUGGCGCAGUGGAAACAAAUCCGACUAGUAUCCAUGAGGAUGUAGGUUCAAACCCUGGCCUUGCCCAGUGGGUCAGGGAUCCAGCAUUGCUGUGAGCUAUGGUGUAGGUUGCAGACGCAGCUCGGAUCCCACAU